rnacentral:rRNA from 1 species
AAACUGAAGAGUUUGAUCCUGGCUCAGAUUGAACGCUGGCGGCAUGCCUUACACAUGCAAGUCGAACGGCAGCACGGGUGCUUGCACCUGGUGGCGAGUGGCGAACGGGUGAGUAAUACAUCGGAACAUGUCCUGUAGUGGGGGAUAGCCCGGCGAAAGCCGGAUUAAUACCGCAUACGAUCUAUGGAUGAAAGCGGGGGACCUUCGGGCCUCGCGCUAUAGGGUUGGCCGAUGGCUGAUUAGCUAGUUGGUGGGGUAAAGGCCUACCAAGGCGACGAUCAGUAGCUGGUCUGAGAGGACGACCAGCCACACUGGGACUGAGACACGGCCCAGACUCCUACGGGAGGCAGCAGUGGGGAAUUUUGGACAAUGGGCGAAAGCCUGAUCCAGCAAUGCCGCGUGUGUGAAGAAGGCCUUCGGGUUGUAAAGCACUUUUGUCCGGAAAGAAAUCCUUGGCUCUAAUACAGUCGGGGGAUGACGGUACCGGAAGAAUAAGCACCGGCUAACUACGUGCCAGCAGCCGCGGUAAUACGUAGGGUGCAAGCGUUAAUCGGAAUUACUGGGCGUAAAGCGUGCGCAGGCGGUUUGCUAAGACCGAUGUGAAAUCCCCGGGCUCAACCUGGGAACUGCAUUGGUGACUGGCAGGCUAGAGUAUGGCAGAGGGGGGUAGAAUUCCACGUGUAGCAGUGAAAUGCGUAGAGAUGUGGAGGAAUACCGAUGGCGAAGGCAGCCCCCUGGGCCAAUACUGACGCUCAUGCACGAAAGCGUGGGGAGCAAACAGGAUUAGAUACCCUGGUAGUCCACGCCCUAAACGAUGUCAACUAGUUGUUGGGGAUUCAUUUCCUUAGUAACGUAGCUAACGCGUGAAGUUGACCGCCUGGGGAGUACGGUCGCAAGAUUAAAACUCAAAGGAAUUGACGGGGACCCGCACAAGCGGUGGAUGAUGUGGAUUAAUUCGAUGCAACGCGAAAAACCUUACCUACCCUUGACAUGGUCGGAAUCC